rnacentral:rRNA from 1 species
UACAGAGGUCUCAAGCGUUGUUCGGAUUCAUUGGGCGUAAAGGGUGCGUAGGCGGCGCGGUAAGUCGGGUGUGAAAUUUCGAGGCUUAACUUCGAAACUGCAUUCGAUACUGCCGUGCUCGAGGACUGGAGAGGAGACUGGAAUUUACGGUGUAGCGGUGAAAUGCGUAGAUAUCGUAAGGAAGACCAGUGGCGAAGGCGGAUCUCUGGACAGCUCCUGACGCUGAGGCGCGAAGGCUAGGGGAGCAAACGGG